UUGAUGGGUCGAAGCAGCAGUCGAGAGAAAUCCUUUGUACAGUGUGUAUCCUUGACCGGUUAUGACAAGAAGAAGCGCUCUGGUGGAUGGGCAUCACCGUUGGUAAAGCUUCCUCAUAUUCCAAAAGAUGGAAGUGAAGGACAUUAGCAGUAAGAAGCAAAGCAGCGAGUGAAAACACGGACGUUAGAGAAAGAAUGAAACAACUGCCUUGGCCUUGCCCCGCGAACCCCCGUAGAUGGUACAAGAUAGCAGCGGCACGGCCAGUUUUCCGGACCUGUUUAUAUGACAAUCGGUGAUACUCCUCGGCCGCCGCCAGAUGCCUCCCCCGAUACCAGCUAACCCCAGGACCAUAAGUCGCCUAAUGAGCCGCCUGGACCCCGCUCAGACAGGACUGUGUGAGUGUGAGGGGCCGCGUGGUGGGAGCAGAGAAGGCCGACGCACCUGAUGACUCUUAGUGUGCACAGAACAAUGACUGGCGACGACGUAAUGUAGGUGUUUUCUGAAAGACUGUUCCUUCGUGGUGCUCAUGGUGCCUGCAUACACCUAUAAAGCCACCAAGAUAAAAGGAAGUGUUUGAUGGGAAAAGUUUACUAUGAAGAAUUCAGAGAAUUGGCGUAGCUUGCAACAGUUACAGUAGCGGAAGAGAAGAUAGGGAGUCUCUUGCAGGGUCGCUUUCUCAUGGAGUUGUGGCGCAUGUGAUUGUGAUGAUGGAAGAAUUAUAUCACCAGUCAGUCUUCCGAAUUGGACUAGCAUCACCAAUGGAGAAAGUUGGUCUCCAGUGGCUGAGGAAACUGGUGUGAUCAGCUUCCCAAGUUCCGUGCACCACUGAAGAUGGGACAAAAGUGCUCGCCUCGGACUGGAUUUUGAUUGUUUUUCCUGUACCAAUUAGACGGACAAUAUCUCACCUCACUGCGACUAGAGAAAGCAAGUUGAGGCCCCCACCUCACUAAGACGGCAGAAAGUGGCCCCGUAAUGGCCUAAAAAAUUGUAUUUAGAGUAAGCCAAAAAAAAAAAAUACUUGAAAAACGUGACAAAACUUUUUUUUAUUUUUACAUAUUGGUUACCCUACUACAGAAUCUCCGGAGAGUCUAUGGAGUAUUUUCGACUUUCGUACAGUUUUUUUUUUACGCCAUUUGGGGGGCCCUUCGGUGUCGUCUCAUUAGGGGAGGGGAAGUUGAUGCUGCGUGUAAUUUGUACAGGGAAUAUAAGGAAGACAGCACAGAAAGAAGGCGAGGUUGGUGCCUGCACUGACCCAAGGAUUUUUCUACUUCUGUAGCUGUAACUUAGAGUAGUUAUAUUAAUAUUAUACACUUAAAAUGAUAAUGACUAUACACAAUGAUACGUCCCAUACAUCAUUCAAAAGAAAGUAACAUAGUAAUCAUGAUGGUAGUAUAUAUCACUAAUAGUUUUGCUAUAAUGUACCAACAACUAGCAAGCAUAUUUGAAACUUUAGAAGUAGGGCUAACACUUCAGAAAAAAAAAUUAUAUUAAUUCCUUAGUAUAUUAUAUACUUUGUUACUCUCCUUGAUCCGUCUGUCCUAAGACGUGUCACUAAUUCCUUAGUAUUUAUAUUUUUGUUCCUCUCCUUGAUCCGUCUGUCCUAAGGCGUAUCACUAUCGCCACUAUCAUCAGACAUUGCUGGAUGUGGCAUAAACAUAUAAAUCGGUUGUAUCUAACGUCUAAUAAACUUAUUACAAGAAAAAUA